GAUAAUAAUUCCCAUGCUCGCCUGGAUCGGGCUUGAGGAAGUUGAGGGGCCAUUAUGCGGCUGAGUCAUAGCUGCGCGGGGCAGGGCCGGACCUCGAGGGGUCUCCUCCCUUUGCCCCCAAAGUCAGCGGGGAACAGCCGCUGCCCGGCAGGAGCCUGGCCCUGGUGGGUGAAGUCAUGAACCCCGGAAACUCCGACCAAAGAGCAUCGGCAAGAACAGAGCUGGUCCCCACAAACCUCCCAGCAUCCAGGGGAGGGUCACACAGCGGCUCUGGAAGGAUUCCUGCGAGUUCCUCUGGUUCACACCCCACUCUUUGACCCUCUCCUCUUCUGGUUGGACAGUAGUUAAAGCCUCACGUCGAGGAGACAAAGCAGAAGCUGGAGCAUGAGUUCUGCUUAAGUUACUUUGGUAACUAAAGAGUACCAGAAAUCUCAAGACUCAAUACCAAGGCUGAAGAAGCAAGUUUGAAAAUGGACCAAAAGCAAUGGAAGCCAAACACUUUACCACAGGAUUGUGUCCCCUAAAAGAAGAGAAAGAAAUCGGCUGAGCCAGGAAUAGCUUUCUGCCUGGAGGCAUUUUCCAGCGGGAGCUCAAGCACAGGAGACCAAGCAGAGGGAGCUGUCGUCCUGAACUGAGGAAAGAGAGGUCAGUGGCUGUUCCGGUGGCUGAAGCAUCUAGGCAGCUGCACAGGAAGAAAGCUCUAGAAAUCAUCAUGAGGAUAUUUAAAUGUAUGCUGUGCUUGCAACACUGAGGCCACGCUAGAA